UACGGAGGAGGCAAGCGUUAUCCGGAAUUAUUGGGCGUAAAGCGUCCGUAGGUGGUUUAGUAAGUCUGCUGUUAAAGCGCGGGGCUUAACUCCGUAUCGGCAGUGGAAACUACUAGACUAGAGUGUGGUAGGGGUAGAGGGAAUUCCCAGUGUAGCGGUGAAAUGCGUAGAUAUCGGAAGGAACAUCAGUGGCGAAAGCGGCUUCCUGGACCAGUACCGACGUUCAGGCACGAAAGCGUGGGGAGCAAACAGG
rnacentral:rRNA from 1 species